AGGGGGGAGAAUUUCAGGUGUAGCGGUGAAAUGCGUAGAGAUCUGAAGGAAUACCAGUGGCGAAGGCGGCCCCCUGGAACAGAUACUGACACUCAGAUGCGAAAGCGUGGGGGCAAACAGGAUUAGAUACCCUGGUAGUCCACGCCGUAAACGAUGUCUACUUGGAGGUUGUGGCCUUGAGCCGUGGCUUUCGGAGCUAACGCGUUAAGUAGACCGCCUGGGGAGUACGGUCGCAAGAUUAAAACUCAAAUGAAUUGACGGGGGCCCGCACAAGCGGUGGAGCAUGUGGUUUAAUUCGAUGCAACGCGAAGAACCUUACCUACUCUUGACAUC
rfam:Vibrio genomosp. F10 strain 9CSC122 9CSC122_contig_58, whole genome shotgun sequence.